rnacentral:rRNA from 1 species
AUUGAACGCUAGCGGGAUGCUUUACACAUGCAAGUCGAACGAGUGGCGGACGGGUGAGUAAUAUAUCGGAAGUGCCCAGUGGCGGGGGAUAACUACUCGAAACGGUAGCUAAUACCGCAUACUAUCGGAUAACCCAUAUGGGAUUAGCUAGUAGGUGGGGUAAUGGCUCACCUAGGCGACGAUCCCUAGCUGGUCUGAGAGGAUGAUCAGCCACACUGGGACUGAGACACGGCCCAGACUCCUACGGAGGCAGCAGUGGGGAAUAUUGCACAAUGGGCGCAAGCCUGAUGCAGCCAUGCCGCGUGUAUGAAGAAGGCCCUAGGGUUGUAAAGUACUUUCAGCCGGGAGGCGUUACCCACAGAAGAAGCACCGGCUAACUCCGUGCCAGCAGCCGCGGUAAUAC